CCGCAUGGAAGCACAACUCUGUACGGCAACUGGCCGAGCUCUGGCACUUUUCAUGUAUUAUUUAUAUUUAUGCAUGAAGGAUUGUGUGCGGACAAAUAAUAAAAAGGAGGACGUGCCCACGUUACGAACAGGCGAAUGGUAUUGUGUUCCUAAUUGUUACUAAGCUGCAUAAGAAGCUCAGCCAGUUAUUAAAAGAAGAGAGGCCAAUCAGGUGGAUAGACUUCAGGAGGCUCACGUUUAUUUUGAAGAUUCAAGGAAAGCCGAGAGUCUUCUUCUGAUGGCACACCUUAAAAAUGUGGAAAUCACUUUCAAACUCUCUCAGUACACGUGUUAUGUUCAAUUGCACAAGCGGCGUUCGAGAAGACGAGCCCGGCAGCGGCGCAGAAUAUCGGCGCAAGAUAAUUGAUGGAAUUGAUGGAAAUCCUCGUUGGUUUCGUGAAAACAAAAUUACGGUG